rnacentral:rRNA from 1 species
AUUGAACGCUGGCGGCAGGCUUAACACAUGCAAGUCGAGCGGAGAUGAGGUGCUUGCACCUUAUCUUAGCGGCGGACGGGUGAGUAAUGCUUAGGAAUCUGCCUAUUAGUGGGGGACGACAUUCCGAAAGGAAUGCUAAUACCGCAUACGCCCUACGGGGGAAAGCAGGGGAUCUUCGAACCUUGCGCUAAUAGAUGAGCCUAAGUCGGAUUAGCUAGUUGGUGGGGUAAAGGCCUACCAAGGCGACGAUCUGCAGCGGGUCUGAGAGGAUGAUCCGCCACACUGGGACUGAGACACGGCCCAGACUCCUACGGGAGGCAGCAGUGGGGAAUAUUGGACAAUGGGCGGAAGCCUGAUCCAGCCAUGCCGCGUGUGUGAAGAAGGCCUUUUGGUUGUAAAGCACUUUAAGCGAGGAGGAGGCUACCUGGAUUAAUACUCUAGGAUAGUGGACGUUACUCGCAGAAUAAGCACCGGCUAACUCUGUGCCAGCAGCCGCGGUAAAAC